CAUUCCUUUUUGGUUUCGUAUUGUGUAUUGACGCCUGCGGUUCCGUCAUCCGUAUCUAUUCGCGAUCAAGGCGAUUCGCGUACGACUUACGAAUGUAGAUUUUAGAUUUAUUUAUUUUAAUAUCACGCUCUCGUUCCACUUUUUGUUAUUAUUUAGUUUUAUCGUUCUAUAAUGUGCUGUGUUAUUUGGAAUUUAUUUAUGUGAAACAAAGGCUGUGAGUGUCGAAACAAAAGCAAACGUUGAUUAUUAUGAUGUCACUGCUGUUAGAUCCUUGAAUAAUGAGUGUUAAUGUUAAAGACGUUUCGAGUCCUGUAUCUGAAGGGCAGAGUAGUGUUUUGGAAGUGGGUGAAAAAGAAAGUGAAGUGACUUCAAAGGAAAAUGUUGAGGAAGGUCAGUGUUCAGAGCCAUCGACACCUAAACCUAAUCCAAUGGCGUUCACAGUUGAUUUUGGUGAGACGAAACGGCUUGAUAAUCGUAGACUCGAAGAGUUAGCAAAAAAAUCUCAAGCUCGGCAUCAGAGGGUUCAAUCUAUGUCUGCUAGUGCACCUAAGCCAAGUCCCAUAUCACAAAGAAUGUCCAUGAGCGCUAAACUUCCUCGAAAAGCACAAGGUUACAAUUCUGAAGGCUAUUUUUCCUCAGAUCAAGAAGAUGGUCUGUCUACUUCUCUUAAGCUACGAAACAGUCCAUUAACUCAAACAGAUAAUUCAAUUCAAAGACAAGUUAAAUCACCUGUUGAGUUCCAGCCAAAACGUACGUCCAAAAGUCCAAUAGUUGAUAGUAUCAUGUCGAGAAGUGAAAACUUUACUACUCGGCCCACACUUAACUUACCACUCAAAAUCAGUUCCUAUGGAGAAGUCCACAAAAGUCCCAGCUACACUAAUUUGAAUUUCUUUAGCCAUCCUAUGAAUGAUAUAUUAGAUCAGAGUCCGGAUGGAGUAAUGCUUGUUGAUAUUUCAAGUCCUGAAUUAGAUAUCUUAACUCCAGAUAAUGUUUUAUCGACACCAGAACUGUCUAGAAGUCCAGUGUCUCAUAUAUUUAGACCAUCUUCUGAAACCCCCGAUCUGUUUAAAAAAUGUCCUCCUAAACAACAGGUAUUGUUCAUUGAUGAUGAAGAUGACAGGCAGUCUAAUCAUUCAUCUACUGGUACAUACACAAUAGAAGGUGAUAAUUAUACAGAGGAGCAAAAAGCAAGAAUGAGUAUAGAUAGAACUUUUGGAACAGACCUCUUCAAACAUACCAUAGAUGAAACUUUAAAACAAAAGAACUUAGAAAAUGAUCCAGAACUUAUAUUUGAUUUUUCUAAAACCAUUAUAACUGCGGAACCACAACAUGAUUUAUGUCUUCAUAAUACACUUCCUAUAACUAAGAAGGAAUCCCCUAACAUGGUAUCAAAAGACAAAAAUGUCUUAGAAAUAUCUUGUUGCUAUGAAUCUCCAUCUGAAAGUGAUUUAGCUGCUCAAACAUCUAAACAAAUUAAGUCAACACGUAGUUAUUUAGAGAAAAUUAAAAACAGAGUAAGAACAAUAACAGAAAAGACAUUUUCAAAGUCCCCACCAAGAUAUGGAGAUGGUGAUUUUGGUAUGUUUACUUCUGUUACAACAUCUGGUGUGUUAAGUUCAAAAUAUCCUGUAAAUGUAGAAAUUCCUGUGAGAAGGCGUUGUAGUCUAACAAAAUCAGAAAUUGAUAAAACAGACUACAUUCAUAGGCUAUCAAGAGAAUCAUCUGUGCCUGUAUCCUUACCGAGCACAAAAAAUGUACUAGAAGAUGCUAAAUUCGAAAGUACAGCAUUAAGAAAUGCCCAAAAAGCCAUGAGAGAAGAGAAUCCUGACCUAACACCAGAAGAAAUUGUUAAUAGAUUAUCAUAUUUAAGUCUAAAUAGGUGUAAAGGUGAUAAAACAUGGAUUCAACAUUGGGCGGACAGUGUUCAAAACUACAAUACAAAUACGUUAGGCAAGGAGGCAGGGGAUUUAAACAGUACCUUUAUGGUAGAAGACCGGCCUCCGAUCAGUCCAAGACUGCAUCCUACCAAAUCCCGCAGCCCGCAUGGCGGCACUCCCACAAAGAUACCAAGCCCUGUCGGGACGCUACUACACCGCAGGACACCGGACCUAAUUCCACCUCAAGACACGGAGUCAUAUCUGCUGAAAACGCAAAAUGCAAUUACCAAUCUUCAAGCAAAAUUGAAUUCGUCGCGCAAUACCAACAUUCCGUCUCUAUUGACAACUAGUCUCAUCAGUGAGAAGACCCUAGUCUCGAGGCUACCACUUGCACAGCUGAGCCGGUCUAACUCUCUUAAUUAUAGACUGCGAAGAAAGGAUAAUUCAGGUGACGGUAGCCCACUCCGAAGUCCUGGGCAUUACGUCAUCACAGGCUCCUCAAAGGUAGACCACAGGCGACUCAACAAUCCCUCCAGAUCCUUGGACACCGAACCAAGACGGGAUUCAAACAUGAACAGCCCCGAUUCCAACAGAGGCCUCCUCAGCAACAGCUCAGACGACAAAACUCUCUCGAACCGGCCAGCUAUGUCGCCAAAAACACACACACGUCACCAAUCCUUCGACGGACGAACUGAUUACAUUAAAGACAUAAACACAAACGUCUGUCUCAAAGCUGUGCUGAAAAGCAACGCCCUGGAUACCAAUUUAAGAAUCGAUCAAACGCGCCAACCGCCUAACGUGAUCAAACGCUCUAGUUCGUUCAACACGGUCAAGAAUAACAACCUUGUUGACACACGAAAAGUUUCGCGGCGUUUGAGCGGCCAUUCGGAUAUAUCUGAUGACACGGAUAAUGGCUCCUUUGAUAAGGAUCUGAGGAAGAGGGUGUUUUCGCCGGAGUUGACAACUGUUCCCUCGAACUCGCCACGAUGCCCGAACACACCGGAAAUGCAGAGAAAGUUCGGACCGGGAUUGGUUAGGAAUACCCGGGUGACGAGUAAGGGACGAAUGUCAGAACCGCCGAUGGCGAGGAAGCCGGCUAAUCAUCAGAGCAGACAGGAUUCCAAAGUUAUGAAUAGGCUCACCAAGUCCAGGUCGUCGACAAGAGAACCACCGAAGUCUGAUAAAGCACAAAAGAAACCCAACCAGCACCGUUCAUCAUCAGCGUUAGCUACGAAAGAGAAAGAGUUCACCAACUGGAAAAAGCGAUCCUCAUACGAUCCGAUGAAGGCAGCGCAGGAAGGGAAAAAGAAACAGCAGAUGGCGAAAAGGCAAGAGUGUAACAAGGAUGACCUUAGUUCACCCAGCCAUUCGUCACCCGUGCAUCGAUCCCAGUCUUUUCAUACCACGAAUAUAGCUGAUCUCACUUUGGAUUACUCCUCUGAGGGAACAGAGGAUGACCAGCCGACGUUGCCAAUUGACCCUAUGAUUACAUCAACGCAUUCAGACAUCCUGGAUUUGAGGAGAAAAGGCAUGAGCAAUGAUGUGAUUUUGGGUAGAAGUUAUGUCGCUAAUUUUAAGGUACCCAAACCGGAGAACUCCAAACGUCACGAUAAACACAAAACGGGCAAAGAGGUUGACAAGCGCAGAACCUUCAUACUUGACAGUGACACGAACUCAACGACAAACGGCAGCAGUCCCAGAAAUAGUUCUAUCUUCAGUCACGAGAAGAAUUCGUACACGGAUACCGAAGGAGAGAGCGGGACGGAGAGUGCGCCCGUCAUGAGGCAGAACAAGACGCAAGUUCAGCCGAAACAAAGAUACAGUGGUGAUUUCUCCAUGUCAUCUUCAACAACCUCAAUUGGACAUAAAAAGCCUAAAGAAAUCCAGCCCCGUUAUAUGGAUAUAUCUAAAUACAAAGCCGAGAAUUCUCCAAAGACGUUCCUACGAAGAGAUCCGAGUAAGACUUAUGUUGGAGUGCUAAAUGAACGACCAGUCAGUAAGGGAAGCGCUCAGCACUAUGAAAUGGAACAAAAGAAACAAGAAUUAGAGAAGUGGAAACGCAGGGCGUCAUACGAUCCGAGGAAAGCCGCGGCUCUCGGCAAGUCGAAAACCCCGCCCAAGACUGCGAGAGCGUGACAGUUCCCAUUAUGCAUACAAUUCUGGCUAAACUGUAACGGCGGCCAUCUUGUAUGAAAGAGCAACGUCCUACGUUCGCAGUCGUUCCAUGGGCAAGUUUUGUCGCCGAAUCUUCGUUACCAGCCUCCGCCGGCGCAAAUAAAUGAAUCCUACGAUGCUUCGAGCGAUAACGAUUUUUAGGCGAAACGCCAAUGUGAUAGUUGUUUUUAAUGUACCCGAUUUGCUUUAAUAUGUCUAGUAGUAGGUAAUGUCAGUUGUCAAAAGACUGUCAUGUGCGAGCCGCUUAAAUAUGUCCGCAUGACAGAUGACUGUCUCAGCUGCCGCCAAUUUUGAAAAUAUUAAAAGUUUGCGAGAUUCCGUAAGCUCGCUUGUAGGGAAUUUUUGUUUUUUCGCACAAAAUAUACAACAUACAUGCACGGAAUUUUUAUAUUAUUUUACAGUUUGUAUUUGAUUCCCCCGUUUAGAAUAUUUAAUAUCUUAUUAAAUCGUACGUAGGAUAAUGUUUAAGCUAAUUGUUUAAAGGGCCAAUAUAUAUAUAAUAUGGUAUAUUUGCGUGCAAUCAAAGUAUAAAAAAAACGAAUUAAAUGCUCGCGAGUGUAUUGCUCAUAUCAUAAACAUCGAGUUAAUUUGUUAGUUAUAACUAGCUUAGAUUUUUAGUGCAAUAAUACACAUCACAUGAAUUUUUUUCAAAAUUGUGUUAAGGCUUUAAUUUUUUUGUCUGUGGCUAAAUAAAAGAUGUGAUAAGUUUCAAGAUGAACUAUUUAAGUUUCUAAAUUAUAUGUGGCGUUAAAGUUGUUCAUUUAUUUUAGGGUUGCCAAGUUGUAAAUUAGUACAUAUAUUAUACCUUUACAUUAAUACCUUUUUUUAUUCUUUAGUCUAUUGUUUUUUACUCAUAUCCGGUUUCUAUAUUCAUAAGGCGUAAUUUUUCUAUAUACAGGCUUUCAAAUGUACUCUGUAGAAUAUCAAUGACUUGAAUCAAGAAACCGUGCGGUUAUUAUCGUGUCUGUACAUAAACUGGCAACCUACAAAAUGUGUGAACUGUUCUGUUGUAAAGCUUGUCAUAAUUAAAUGCAAUGAUUUAUUUUGGAAUUAUUUAUAUUUUUAUAUUGUAUUAAAAUACUCAUAUUAGCGUAUGAUUUCUAUGUAAAGUAAGUGAAUAACGAAUUGAGUUACUUUGAACGAUUUCGAUUCUCCAAAUUUGUAAUUAUCUGACAGUUAAUAAUGAAUAUGACACGACUGCUGUUACGUCACUAAAGUUUUUGUAUACACUCAAUAUGUUUUUGUAUACAAAGUUUUCAGUCAUAUCUACAAGUUUUGUAUUCAAAAGUCAAUUAUAUCUUUUUGGGAUUUUAUAUAAUAUAUAAAACGAUUAAAGUAACUCAUUUCUCCAGCUUCAGUAUUUUGUACAAAUUAAUUUUUACGUUCUGUUAAUGAGAUUUUAAUUCCCGAUUUUGUUUUUCUCAUCAAUAUAGUUACGCAAUUUUUAAUGUAAGAUCUAUAUUUAGAUGUCAGCAAACUAGUGGUAAACCCGGCUUUACCUGUAUAAUUUCCAUGGUGUUCGCUGUAAGCGUAGAUUUUUUGUAAUUGAUGUUAAGCAUUUCAUAAUUGUUUUGAUGGGAAAUAAAGAAAUGUAUUAAA